rnacentral:piRNA from 1 species
UGAAGAGGAGAGCUUACUCAGCCUGUUGUG